rnacentral:rRNA from 1 species
CCCAGACAGCCAGGAUGUUGGCUUAGAAGCAGCCAUCAUUUAAAGAAAGCGUAAUAGCUCACUGGUCGAGUCGGCCUGCGCGGAAGAUGUAACGGGGCUAAACCAUGCACCGAAGCUGCGGCAGCGAACGUAUCACUUAAAGCGAUUCAGCGGGUUACGAUUGACGGAGCGAAGCGACGUCAAAGCGUAUACAAAGUCGAGUCGGUUUAAGGAUACGUUCGUUGGGUAGGGGAGCGUUCUGUAAGCCUGUGAAGGUGUGUCGUGAGGCAUGCUGGAGGUAUCAGAAGUGCGAAUGCUGACAUAAGUAACGAUAAAGCGGGUGAAAAGCCCGCUCGCCGGAAGACCAAGGGUUCCUGUCCAACGUUAAUCGGGGCAGGGUGAGUCGACCCCUAAGGCGAGGCCGAAAGGCGUAGUCGAUGGGAAACGGGUUAAUAUUCCCGUACUUGGUGUUACUGCGAAGGGGGGACGGAGAAGGCUAUGUUGGCCGGGCGACGGUUGUCCCGG